rnacentral:tRNA from 1 species
GGUGGCUCAGUGGCAGAGCGCUUGCCUUGCAUGCAGGAAACCCUGGGUUCGAUUCCUCAGCACCA